UGAUUUUGGGUGUAGUGAAGGGAGGACUCAUGCCUUCCAAAAUUUCAGAGUCAAGAGACAUGGUAAUGAAUUGAAGGGGCCUCCCCGGUGUUGUCAUUCGUCAAGUAGGACUUCAUUAAUAAUAAGAGAGAAGGGAAAAUGAGUGCAGGGAGAGCGUGUCCAAGACUCUUCCUGAUGAG